CACGGUUUGUGCGUCAGCCAUGUACAAAAGUUAGGAAGUGCAUUAUUAGGUUUAUUGGAUAGGAAAUUAGUACGGAAUUUGGAAAAGGAUCAGAUAAAUUUUAUUAUAAAUAAAAGGACAGAAAUAGAAGUAGGAAAAGGAAUAUUUAUGGAUAAAAGCGAGGAAAUAAAAGCGGAACGGUCAUGUCUAUUACAGGCAAAAAAUAUGUGGUUAAAACCCCCAACGUCAUUGCCACACUCAAAUGUGUCGUCAGGCAAAAGGUUUAAGCCUUGCCAAAUGCAAGGGUAUGCAUGCAUGGCCCAGCCUCAUACGUAUAAGGGUCGAAGUAACAUCUUUACCAAGCGUCAAAGUAGAAGUGGAAGGGUGAGACGCAUCGAUUGUGACUACAUGAGACACCUGGAGGGAUGUCCCUCCAGGGUCUUCGGGCUCCAUCAUGGACGACAAGAGAAAAAUUCUUAUCUACAUAUAAUAAAAUAAAAUAACUUACCAGGCUAUUAAGACAAACUAAAAAUAUAAAUAAUCAACAAUAACUACUACUAUAUACACCUUACAACUUAGCUGAUCCUGUAUUAUUAUAUUAAUUUAAUUUUAAAAGUUAAGCCAAAAAAAAGACGCCCGCCUAUUUUUACACUUC